ACUUCUCUGCUGGUCCCUGCCUGUGUAAACACCAUGACUCUGGGUUCUGCUCAGCAGACUGAAGGGAACACAACUAUGAUGAUUCUCUAUGCUGUACUUGGAGAAGGCUGGUUAGUCAUAAGUUUUAAAGCAGGUUUUUAGAUCAAAAAGAAUUGUACUCAAGGAAUUGAAGCUAUGGAGCCUCUGCCACAUCUGGACCUGAUUUUGAUGACAAGAUCCUGUACCUCAAGCCCGAGACUAAUUUCAUAAUUUGAUGAAUCUUUUUGGAGAGUCAUGGGAGGAAUGUAAACAAUUUGUGGCCAAAGGAGAAUUAUGGUAGUUUGAAGAUGUGGAUACAAAUUAUUUGACAUUCUUCUCAUAGAAAGGUGAUGCUUAUGUCUCCACCCCUUGUAAACAAGCUGGCUUGUGACUUUGACCUAUAGUGUAUGGUGGGAGUGAUGCUGUGGAACUGGAAUUACUAGCAUCAGGAAACCUACUUGCUACAGACCCAACAACGUGCAAUGAUCAGAUCCCAAUUUAGACUGUAAAAAGACCAAUAUCAGAGACUAAGAACUGAGAUCAAACAUACCUUCUUCCUGUACCAAACAGUUCUGGGGCCAAAUAUUGUCUACUGUCUCUAUGCUAACUAGUACUGAAACCAGGCAAAAUUAACUACUUAGCCGCUUGUUCCAGGAAAUACCUGCUCUCGGAAGAAAUAAGUUAACCCACCUGUAUUAGUCUGUUUUCUGCUGCCAUAACAGAACAUUACAGACUAGAUAAUUACUUUGAAAAGUUUAUUUGACCCACAGUUCUGGAAGCUAGGAAAUCCAAGAGGAUGGCACUGGUGUCUGGUGAGGGUCAUGUUAUAGUGGAGGAGUGGAGGAUGGAAGCAAACACAUGAGACAGAGAGAGAAAUCAGGCCAGACUUACUUCUCUAACAAACCCCAUCUCAAUAACUAACUCAUUCCUAUGAUAAUAGCAUUAAUUAUCUCAUGAAAGCCCUCAUAACCUAAUUACCUCUUAAAGACCCCACAUCAAUAAAAUAUCAACAUGAGUUUUGGAGGGGACGUAUAUUUAAAUAAUAGCACCAACUAAAGAGCUUACUUACCUUGCUCAUCAAGACUUUCUUCAAGACUUUCAUCGUGUUGUUUCUAUCUACCCCAAACUAUUAUUUCAUACCCUUUGUUCCAUCCCAACUAAUUUUAGAUGCUACGGUCUGAAUGUUGAAAUUCAUGUAUUGAAACCUAGUCACCAAUUUAUGGUAUUAGGAGAUUGUCCUUUGGGAGGUGAUUGGGCCACAAGGGCUUCACUCUCAUUAAUGGAAUUAGUGUUCUUCUAAAAGAGGCUGCAGAGAGCUGCGUUUUCUCCUCCAUUGUGUGUGAAGGCAGUGAGAAUUUGUUUGCAAUGAAUCAGGAAAUGGGCCCUCACCAGACACCAGCACUUUGAUCUUAGAUUUUCCAACCUACAGAACUGUGAGAAAUGAAUUUCUGUGGUUUAUACCACCAACUUAGGGUAUUUUGUUAUAGCAGCCAGAACAGAUGAAGGAACUCCACCUUGCCUUAAAAUGACUCAUUUCAGGCCCCGAAAUCCCAUAAACACUUUCCCUUGA
ensembl:lncRNA LINC02607 long intergenic non-protein coding RNA 2607